AACGCUGGCGGCGUGCCUAACACAUGCAAGUCGUACGAGAAAGUUGGCUUCGGCCGAUGAGUACAGUGGCGCACGGGUGAGUAACGCGUGGAUAAUCUGCCCUUAAGUGUGGAAUAACGUACCGAAAGGUGCGCUAAUACCGCAUAAUGCCUGGCAACAUAAGUUGUCCGGCCAAAGAAGGCCUCUGCUUGCAAGCUUUCGCUAAAGGAUGAGUCCGCGUACCAUUAGCUAGUUGGUGGGGUAACGGCCUACCAAGGCGAUGAUGGUUAGCUGGUCUGAGAGGAUGGCCAGCCACACUGGAACUGAGACACGGUCCAGACUCCUACGGGAGGCAGCAGUGAGGAAUCUUGCGCAAUGGGGGAAACCCUGACGCAGCAACGCCGCGUGAGUGAGGAAGGCCCUCGGGUCGUAAAGCUCUGUCAGGUGGGAAGAAAUCGAUGAAGGUGAACAACCUCCAUCCUUGACGGUACCACCAGAGGAAGCACCGGCUAACUCCGUG
rnacentral:rRNA from 1 species